rnacentral:rRNA from 1 species
UUCAACGGCCGCGGUACCCUAACCGUGCGAAGGUAGCGUAAUCACUUGUCUACCAAAUAUAGACCAGUAUGAAAGGCCCCACGAGGGUUACACUGUCUCCUAGCUUCAAUCAGUUAAACUGAUCUCCCCGUGAAGAAGCGGGGAUACAAUUAUAAGACGAGAAGACCCCAUGGAGCUUCAAACUAAAAAUCAACUGCUAAAUCACAUACCCCCCAAAUACAGCAGCUAUGAUACCAAAGUUUUCGGCUGGGGCGACCACGGAGUAUAGCAAAACCUCCACGUUGAAAGAAUAUUAAAUUCUUACCAAAGAGCCACAUCCCAAAGGAUCACAAUUGUGACAUCUCUUGACCCAAACCACUUGAUCAACGAACCUAGUUACCCUGGGGAUAACAGCGCAAUCCAUUUCAAGAGCCCCUAUCGACAAAUGGGUUUACGACCUCGA